ACCAAGAGUGAGCUUCUCUAGCUGCAGCAGUCCCCCUGUUGGCAUCUCGCCACCCUCCAACACACACAGCCCUGCACCCUCGGAUCAGAGCCGUCAUCCAGAGCCCAGCUCAGUGCCUAUUACAUGAACUGCACAGAUCCUGAGGCCACCUAGUGGAGGUUGCUGCCAUUUUCCUGAACAGAGAAUCCAAGUCCACUCUUCUGCACCAUCUUCAAACCAGGAAGCUGUGAGGGGAACAGUUUCAUUGUUGUUUUUUUCCAGUGAGAUCACCCUUCAAUUUAGGAUUCAUGCCUACCUUCUGGACUUCUGAGGACUCUGAGAAUGUUGAUAAGCUGAAUGCAACCAUACAGGCUGAAGUCACCCAUCUGGAGGCUCCCCUUUCCUCCACAGUAGCCUUGAUAAUAGUGUUGAUGAUUAUUUUCUCAUUGGUAAUGACUUCCUUUGUGACGUACUGUUUCCACAAGUGGAGGCUGAAAGGUCGAAAGCUGCAGACAGCCCAGGAAGAGUAUCAAAGAGAUCAGGAGAAAUAUAUAUUUCAGAGCUUUCCUGAUCUUAUUACUUAAAAAUGCAAUAAACUGACAUGAAGUGCGCCAUCUGCAACAAAGCAACAUAACGUGUAACAAGAAAUGAAAAAAAAAAAACAUGACAUUAGAAGGAAUAAAGAAA